CAGUAUAGUAGAUAUAUAGACUGAGUAGUAUUUUCUAUAAAUAAAUAUGGUAGUUAUACUAUGGUUAUACUUAUAGACUUGUAAAGUAUUUGUAAAUUAUAUUUAAUCACAAUUGAUAAUGAACACAUAAUUGGUAACAAUUUUAAUUUCAAUGUAGGUACUUGCAGUAUACCUAUAAUAUGUUACUUAUAUGAAUAUACAGAUAUAUAUAUUAUAUACUAUUAGUAUAUAUCUGUGUAUGAAUAUGAUAUAUUAUCAAGAAAAUGUGUUAAACUUACUCAAAACAGUCAAAAAACAGUCAAAUCCCAAGUUAAAUUGAAAUGUGUGUCAUACCAAGAAAAUUAGUUUAAUUUUGUUUAAUUUGUUAAAAAAUAAAAAAUUUAAAUAGAUUUCUAUUCCAGCUCUACAAAGUGGACAGCGGUAGUAUGGCCUGUGCUCAUUCGGAGGCAUUCUUGAAUAGCUAUCAUGACAAGCUCCACAUAGGCCUUGGUGUAAGCAUGGAUACGCUACUACUAUUGGUGGACUGUACAAACAUAUGUAACAUGUUUCCUCUACUAUUGACAAUUACUACUUACUUGUCAAAUCAACACGUUCAAUGUAAAUAACUGAUGGUAUCACAGACUGUUCGUUAGACACAUCUUCAUCUGAAUAAUCUGCAUCAGCAUCGAGAUUAUAAAAAACUAAAGACAAGCGAUUUAUUUAUUAGUAUAUUUUAUUGGAAAUCUUUAUAAGUAAUAUUAUAAUGAAAAAUCAUACGAUCUCGAGGAACGGGCAUUGCUGGUCUACGUGUGGUGCCUGUGGUAAAGCAGUAGCAGGGAGUACAGGAAUAGCUGGAAGUUGCAGUUCCCGAUGCUGAUCAACGGGGAGUGGUAAUAAAGCUAGUGGAGCUUGUGGAAAGACAGCAGCAGGAAGUAUUACAAUAGCUUGGUGUUGAGGCCGUAUUACACCAAAAUUUGGUGUUGAAUGCCUAGCACAUAUUAAAAAUUCUGACAUUGAGUAGCGUCCUUCUAUAAACAGCCUCAAUGAUCUAUCUAAAUUCCUUUGCUGAUCUAUCCAAACUUGUCGUUGAGGUUCUCUUACUUGUCCUCCAUCAGUAGCCUCAUUAUAAUCGUUCAAAACACCAUUCGAUGUUAAAUAAAUAAAAAUAUAAUUACUCAAGAACACCCAUGGCUCAGGAUUGUGCCGAUUUUGCAUGUGCAUCUGGAGAUGUCGGUGACUUACUUCCAACACAUUGUUGGUUCGCCAAACCGUGUCACUCACCGACAAUAUAUCUGCAUUUAUUCCUAUUGGCAAUGGUGUAGGACCUGCAAGCCAAGUUGAUCUAUAAUAUUCAAAUAAUAAUGUAAAAUUAUAAUCAUUAUUAUUGCUGAUCAAUGAUUGCACAUUCUCAAUAUAGUAUGCCCUUACAGUUUCAAAACCUUCAGCUAUAUAAUUUGUCGGCAGCAAAGGCAAUGCCAUCAACAUAUGCACAGUGUCAUAGGCUCCUCGAUGGUUACUACAUAUAUCAAUCAAUCCUAAAUAUUAACCAGUGUUAUUAAUUGACUAUAUAUUUAAUUUAUUAUUAAUUACAAAUUCCGAUUUUAAAGUAAUCUUACCUAUAUUUGCAACUUUUCUCCAUACCGCUUGGGAGGAAUGAAACCAACAGCCUCUAAUAGUGGUAUUUGGAAACAUUGUUCUUAUAGCAGCAAUAGCUGCCCUUUCAAAAUCAACUAUUAUGGUUUGAGGUUGCCACUCUGGUACUAUGUUUAAAAUCUUAUUGAAAAGCGCCGUGUAUGCCCUUUCCGUUUUCCUCGACAUCAAUGCAAAACCUAUAGGAAAUCCCUGAAAAAAUAUUUUAAUAAAUAGAUUUUUAAAAAAAGUAACUUAAAAUAAUCUAAUUAGUAAAAUAGUUAUUUUAUAAUUUACUAUUAUUUAUUUACAAAUUACAUACAAAACUUACAGUAUUAAAUGUUAUGCCCAUUAUGAUGUAUAAUUGGUGGCAUUCGUUUCCAAAACUUGGUGAACUAGAAAAUGUGCCAUCCAACAAAAAAGUAGAACCAGUCCUAAGUAAACUAAAUUAAUUGUAUAAUAUUAUUGUAAUUAUUAUUUAUUUGAAAUAAAGUUUAUUAUAUUUUAUAGUUGUAUACUUUUUGAUUCCAGGCAAAAUGAAAAAUAAAGUGGUUCCUUCUUCUAAAGUUGCACCAACAAUGCCAGAGUAUAUUGGUUCAUUUUGUAUCAU